rnacentral:rRNA from 1 species
UACAGAGGGGGCAAGCGUUGUUCGGAAUUACUGGGCGUAAAGGGCGCGUAGGCGGCCUUCUAAGUCAGACGUGAAAUCCCCGGGCUCAACCCGGGAACUGCGUCUGAUACUGGAAGGCUUGAAUCCGGGAGAGGGAUGUGGAAUUCCAGGUGUAGCGGUGAAAUGCGUAGAUAUCUGGAGGAACACCGGUGGCGAAGGCGGCAUCCUGGACCGGUAUUGACGCUGAGGCGCGAAAGCGUGGGGGAGCAAACAGG